UUCCUGCUUAAAGCUCGUUUCUCUUCAUCCAUUUUACACAGGUAGUGUGAUCACGAAGAAUUACUAAUAAAACAUUGAGGCGUUAUGAGAUCUAUGUCGCUUCGCAAAACUGUAUCUUAGUACGACAUAAAGUUGCUUUUGGACUUGAACGUUGACUAAAUAAAUGUGUUGCCUGAUUGUACAUGAUAUAUUAUCAGCUUUGUCAAGGGAAAAACCGAGACCGAAGAAAGUUAAAACUGAGAGAAAUUCUAGAUAUGCUACUAUAAGUGCU